ensembl:lncRNA
CCAGCAUUGAGUGUUUAUGAAUUGGUAGGUGCUGCGUGCUCAGUACUUCAGCCGUGACUCUUUGUGACCCAUGGACUGUAGCCCGCCAGGCUCCUCUGUCCGUGGGAUUCUCCAGGAAAGAACAGUGGAGUGGGUUGGCAUGCCCUCACCCCAGGGGAUCUUCCCCACCCUGGCAUCGAACCCUCGUCUCCUGCAUUGCAAGCGAAUUCUUUAUCCACUGAGCCAUCUGGGAAGCUGACGGGGAAGUCACAUGGUGCCCAUGGGCAUAAACUACCCGGGCCCAGAGACCUGAGCACGCUCCUGGUCCCCCGGCUCCAGACUGACUGCACCCCAUGCGGUGGGCAGCAGAGAUCCAUCUGGAACAUGCGCCUGAAGACUCCGUUCCCUGAAAAGACUCCCACAGCUCCCUGUGGGCCCGGAGAAAGAAGGUAGGCAAAGCCUAGAUGUGGGGGCUCUAUGGUUUGGGGUUCCAGUCUGGGCUCUGUCACUUCUUAGAACUUCUCUGAGGCUCCAUCUCCUAACCUGUAAAACCUGGAAUAAUGCAGAUGUUAUCAGUGACAUCUGUAAAGGGCCUGGGGUACAGCUGAUCCUCAAAACCCAGAGAUUCCGCCUGGCAUCCAGGACCCUGGACCAGGCCCCUGAUGACCCCUCCCUCACUCAGAACCUGACCCCGUCUGGACCGUUUUCCCUGGGCCGCCCUUCCUCCCUCCCGGGGCCCUGUUCCCAUGGCCCUCCCAUCAGUAGCCUCCCCGCCCCCUCCCCGCCCACUGCUGUUUCUCCAGCGUCCACUCCACACAAACGUUCAGCAUGUCUGCUUCUUUCAUGGAUUCGUGGCCCACAUCCUGAUAAGAAGGAUCUGAGACAGCUUACAAAAUAUACCCUGGAUAUGAUAGAUCCAACAUCUUUCAGGGUCAGCCGAGCUGGCUACUGCUGACACCCCACUGUGAGACCAAGCCUGGGUCUUUGCUUUCUUCCGGCUUCCCCUGGGCUGGAGACUCAUUCCUGGAGAGGGGGGUCGGGGCAGGGAUGCCUGAGAGUGCGCCCCUGGUGCAGAGCUCCACAUUUCAGCGGGCCCUUCCAGAAAACUUGGUCCGCCAGCCUCACAGAACACACAGAGACAGGGAGCCUCAGAGAAGGCGAGCGACUUACCUCAAAGACACAGCCAGGCGGAGGCAACGUGGGGUGAAGGACGGAGAAUCAACCCUAGGACUAGAGACGCGGAUUCUCCGGUCAUCCGACACUCCAGCUCCCUCUGACCUGCCCGACUGCGGUUCUUUUUUAUUGUAGUGUUUAUUUGUUUGUCAUUUGCGUAUUUGGCCGUGACGGGUCUUGAUGCGGCACGCAGGAUUUUACCUGUGGCAUGCGAACUGUUAGCCAUGGCACGUGGGCUCUCGUUCCCUGACUGGGGAGGGAACCCCGGCCCCCUGCAUUAGGAGCGCACUUUUAGCCACUGGCCCACUAAGGAAGCCCCCAGUUGCUGCUUUUACCAUCCAUGUUACUGUGAGACAUCUCCGGCUAAGACCCCCGGUGGAGAAAUCAGUGGACAGAAGCGUUCAGCAUCGUUUAUUCAAGAAGCAUUUCUUGGGCAUCUGCCAUGGGCCAGGCUGUGCGUAGAUGAAAAAGACAUCGCUCCAGUUUGCCUUACAGGGAGGCGUGGUUUGUGGGGAAGCUGGACGUGUGAACGCAUUGUCUGUAGGCGCCCCCAUAGGCGACGUGCCGAGCACCCAGGACGUGCUCGGAGGGGAGGGGUGCUCACUGGGGCUGGCUCUGCGCUCAGCGCACGGCCGGCAUCUCCUUUAUCCUUGCGUCAAACCUAGGAGACAAGCACUGCUGUUGCCUCUGCUUUGCGGGGAAGGAAAUUUAGUCUCGGGGAGUUUAAGCGACAUGUCCAAGAUGCCCUGCUAUUGAGGAUCCGUGGGACUCACCUGCAGGGCUCAGAUCCUCUGUUAAUCGGCGUGGUCUGCUGCCUCCAAGGAGGAGGAAGCCAGGGGAGCUCAUGUGCUGUUGGCGCUUGCAGGCUGCCGCGGCCACCGGCCUCAGCCUCUUCUGCGGCCUCCCACACGCCCCCAGCUCCUGCCCCGGGAAAGGCUGUCCUGUGUCUGGCCUCCUGGACCCAGAGCAGCCCCGACCCCGCACAGAGGCCUGAUGGCAGGAGGGCCCAAGAGACACCGGGUCCCAGAGCCUCACACUGUUAAGGUCCUUUGGACGCCAGCCACCCAGCUCCGGUUCCCUUCAAGCCCUGCAGCCUCCCAGGACGGGGGUCUGAGCUGUCCAGCCCCUGCUGACUCUGGCGCGGCCAGAGUCCUGGGGCUGGGGGCUGGCCUGGGGGCAGAGGGGCCCCUAAUGGCUAGGCUGGGGGAGUGGGGGCACAUAUACUUCUAGAAAUUCAGGAGAAGAGGGGGCUGGAGCGGUAACCUGGAAACCCAGGAGGUCACGUUUAAAACAGAUUAAGACACUGGCGACCGAGCAGCCCUACUGCGGGAGCCGGUGCCCCUCAGAGCCCCUCAGAAAGCCGCCGGCCUGGUUUGUCACAGAUGACAUGCCCAGAGAGGGCCAGCAAUGGAUCCAAGGCCACCCAGCCCAGUCUUACCCCACAUGCAGGAAGGAAAGAAGGGUCAGUGGGAGUCAGGGCGUCAGCUGUUGCGAAGGCCCUACCAACGCUGUAUAAAGCGCAGGCCCAGCCUUGGCUGCAGGGCCGGGGGCAGCCCCUCGACCGCUCUGGGGCCACUUUGCCUCAUCUGCACAAAAGGACUUACGUGCACAGCUGGCUGGGGUGCCGGUGCUGAGAGCCUUGGAGAAGCCGGGUUGCCUGGCCACCGCCGCCCAAGCAGCUGGGACCCUCGGCGGGGGUGGUGGGAGAAGCCCCCCGUGCCUUUCAGUCUCUUGGUUUCUGCCCCUCCCUCUGUCUUUCGAUCGUCUCUCUCCGUCUGUCUCUCUCCGCGUCUCGCUGUCUCUGCACCCCUCCCCCCUCACUCUCUCCCUCUGUCCUGUUCCCUGAUCCUCCUGUCCACACCCUCAGACAGGUACAGACCACCUACUGGGCCCCUGGCCCCGUGCAGGGAACACCAUGACCUCCUCGACACCUCCCAGGGGAUCGCUGUGUUUAUCCCCACUUGCAGAUGAAGAAGCUGAGGCUGGAAGCCAUCAGGUGACUCGGCCACAUAAACUGGGUCCUCCAGUGCUGGGGUGCAGGCGGGAGGAUCAGGGCUGGGAGACUGAGGCCCAGAGACGGGCGGUGGCUGACUGGAGAUCACACAGCAGUGAGCCGUCGGCCGCGGCGAGGGGCCAGCUUGCCCGGCACCCUGCCUGGCUCCAGAGAAACCACGUAAAUCUCAGGAAGUCUUUGGCAAGGAGGCUGCAGGGCUUACCAGAUGGGCUGUGGCCAACGCCCCCAGCCUCAUCCUGCCUGCCUGCUCGCUUUUCUGGGGCUGACCGCGGGAACGCAGCCUCUCUCCUCCUGAGGCAGCUGGGACCUGGGACUUGCACCUGGGGCCCUCGGCUGCAUGCUUGCACCCGGACAAACAUUUCGUCUCCUGGAGCAACAAAAUACAAAGACGCUGUAAGGGCCUUCCCUGGUGGCUCAGACGGUAAAAGCGUCUGCCUGCAAUGUGGGAGACCCAGGUUCCAUCCCUGGGUCAGGAAGGUCCCCUGGAGAAGGAAAUGGCAACCCACUCCCCUAUCCUUGCCUGGAAAAUUCCAUGGACAGAGGAGCCUGAUGGGCUACAGUCCACGGGGUCGCAAAGAGUCGGACAUGACUGAGCAACUUCACUUUCACUAUAAGGGACUAAAAUUAACCUCAUGUGCAGUUGGGGGAAGUUAUGGACAAGAUCAAAAAGACCAAAAACACCCCGACUGCCACCUCUGAAGCACAAGCAAGUCCUGUGCGUGCCCCCUGCACUCAGCACCACUGCAGGGGUGGGCAGACCACCUGAGCCACGCCUCCAGCCUGACCCCUGGACGCGGGCCUAGCCUGGCCCCAAAUAAGGAACCAGACUGAGCAAGGGAACCUGUUCCUUGUUCUCAGGGCCCGCUGUGGCAGCGGGAGCCCCAGUAAAGCCUCGCCUGCAUUUCUGGUCUGGCCUCUCACCUUUCUCUUAAUCGGGGAAGGCCAGGAGCCCCAGUGGGUGACGCCAGGGAGCAGCCCCAACAGCAGCGUCCCCAGCUCCCAUCUCUGCCCUGCACCGGGCCUCCCGUGUAGGACUGACGAGAGGCGGGGUGGCUGUCCCUGCAGCCCUAACUUAUGUCCCCAGGCUCCCCCAAGUGCCCGGGCCCCCGGGGGAGGGAGGGGAGGUCGCACGCGGAGU